rnacentral:rRNA from 1 species
CCUACGGGAGGCAGCAGUAGGGAAUAUUGCUCAAUGGAGGAAACCCUGAAGCAGCAACGCCGCGUGGAGGAUGAAGGUUUUCGGAUUGUUAACUCCUUUUGUUAGAGAAGAUAAUGACGGUAUCUAACGAAUAAGCACCGGCUAACUCCGUGCCAGCAGCCGCGGUAAUACGGAGGGUACAAGCGUUACUCGGAAUCACUGGGCGUAAAGAGCGCGUAGGCGGGAUAGCAAGUCAGAUGUGAAAUCCUAUGGCUUAACCAUAGAACUGCAUUUGAAACUGUUAGUCUAGAGUAUGGGAGAGGUAGGUGGAAUGCUUGGUGUAGGGGUAAAAUCCGUAGAGAUCAAGAGGAAUACUCAUUGCGAAGGCGACCUGCUAGAACAUAACUGACGCUGAGGCGCGAAAGCGUGGGGAGCAAACAGGAUUAGAUACCCUAGUAGUC